AGUCUCCUCAGGGUCAGGCAUCCUCUCCGACUACUCCCUCAGCUGCAGAUCCCCACCCUCCUCUGAAUCCCAGUGGCCUUCGGCUUCAACAGAAGUUCACUGAAUGUCUGUUAAGGAUCAGACCUGUGUGCUGAGGAUUCAAAAUCAUGUAAGACUGCCUGCGUUCCUCCCGACUUAAACAAAGGCCUCCAGCAGCUUCCCACAUCCCCUGCCAACCCCCGGGGUCCUGGACCUUACUUUUCCCUUCGCUAUCCCGCAGCUCCGUUUCACCUUUUCCCCCACCUUGAUACCCCAUCGCCCCUACAACCGCCUCCCCGAAGGACACCUUGACCAGAGAACACAGCAAACAAGCCCGUAGAUGCCGUAAGUCCUUCGGCACCGUCUCCAGGGCCAUCCUCUCCGACAAAUGAACAGCAAAGAUUUGGGCCACGGCCUCCUCAGCCGCAGGAAGUAAACAGCGAUUUACCCAGAAUGCCUUCCACUUCCGGUUUUCCGCACUUCCUGUUCCGGUAUGGGGAGCCGCGGACUCACGCCUUUCUCUCUCUCUCUCUCUCUCUCUCUCUCUCUCCCCCGGCCCCCCCCCCCGGUCAAGGAGAUGGUUUCUCCCGCCUGGAGGCGGGGCCGGCCGGGAGUCACCUGGGCCGGCGCGCGCACCCGCCACCUGGGCGGGCGCGAGGGCGAGGCCGGGAAGGCAGUUGCGCCUGUGGGUAGGGCCCGUGGGGGAGGGGUGGCGCGGCUGGCGCCUGCGCGGGAGCGCGCCGCGGCUCCGGCCGGAACUCCCGGCGGGGCGGGCCGUUUGAUCUAGGCCGCUGGCAGCCGGCCGCCGGUCCCCUUAGGAGGAUCCCAGAUGUCAGCCGAGAUUCUUUUUUGUCUUCCCGUUUUAAAAGCGCAGGGCCAGAGUCCACUGUCUCCAUCUGGAUUAUCUCUGCAGAGAGGAAAAUCAGGGACGGCCCCUUUCUUUCCUGAGAGCAGUAAAGGGUUUCCAUUCGCCGUCCACGGGAAUGCUGGCUUGUGAGCCCAUGGCGGAUACCAGGCCCAUUAUUUUUGAAAACUCUUUACGUACUUUCCUUGUUCCAGCUGAUAAUUUGUUUCGUGCAGCAUUUAGACACAGGUCCUUUACUUCAGAAUAUCUGUAGGGGAUUGGAGAUUGUGUUUUGUUUUGUUUUGAUUUCACCCUAUAGCAAGCUGGAUGUUUCUUUGCUCUCCUGUUCAAAACUGGGCAACAGACAAUGACCACCCCCUAGGAAACCUGUCCUGGAGAAGCAGAGGGGGAAAUGUGCUUUGUGAGGAUGAGAGCAGAGGCUGCCCCAGGCUCUGUGGAAUUCAUACCAACAUAGCACCAGCUCUUGAUCCUCAACCAUAGUCCCGUGGGGAGGCAGAGCACAGUCAUUUGUGUUUGUCAGAAUUGGAGCUCUGGGAUAGUUUCAGUAGUUUCAGGCCCUACUGUUCUAUCCUCCCAACCAGGCGUCCCAACUGAAACAGAGCUUUUUCAAGGGGGG
rnacentral:lncRNA from 1 species